GGAGCACUUGCCGUUUGCAAAUG
rnacentral:miRNA from 8 species